rnacentral:rRNA from 1 species
AGUGAACGCUGGCGGCGUGCCUAAUACAUGCAAGUCGAACGAAGUGGCGAGCGGGUGAGUAAUCUAGAGUUAAACUGCCCUACACAGAGGAACAACAGUUGGAAACGGCUUCUAAUACCUCAUAGUGUAGGAUGAGACGAUAUCGUAUCAGCUAGUUGGUAAGGUAAUGGCUUACCAUGGUUAUGACGCGUAACUGGUCUGCGAGGAUGAUCAGUCAACUUGGAACGGAGGCACGGUCCAAACUCCUUCGGGAGGGAGCAAUAAGGAAUAUUGCCCAAUGGGCGAGACCCUGACGCGGCAACGCCGCGUGGAGGAUGACACUUUUCGGAGCGUAAACUCCUUUGUUCAGGAAAGCGGUACCUAAUGAAUAAGCACCGGCUAACUACGUGCCAGCAGCCGCGGUAAUUC